rnacentral:tRNA from 1 species
GGGUGAUUAGCUCAGCUGGGAGAGCACCUCCCUUACAAGGAGGGGGUAUUGACUUUUAAUCAAUUGGUCGCAGGUUCGAAUCCUGCACGACCCACCA